UUGCUAGCUUCAGCAACACAUAUGCCGGAUUUGGAACAAUAUGGAGAAGAUUAGCAUGGCCCCUACACAAGGAUGACACACAAAUACAGUUUUUCUUUUAUU